CACGUAGGCGAUCUUUAAGUCAGAGGUGAAAUCCCCAAGGCUCAACCUUGGAACUGCCUUUGAUACUGGAGAUCUUGAGUCCGGGAGAGGUGAGUGGAACUGCGAGUGUAGAGGUGAAAUUCGUAGAUAUUCGCAAGAACACCAGUGGCGAAGGCGGCUCACUGGCCCGGUACUGACGCUGAGGUGCGAAAGCGUGGGAGCAACA
rnacentral:rRNA from 1 species